ACCCAAUAGAUACCCUGGUAGUCCUAGCCGUAAACGAUGGACACUGAGUGGAGGAGGGCUUGCCUUUCUCUGCUGCAGCUAACGCGUUAAGUGUCCCGCCUGGGGAGUACGGCCGCAAGGUUAAAACUCAAAGGAAUUGACGGGGGCUCGCACAAGCAGUGGAGCAUGUGGUUCAAUUCGAUGCAACGCGAAGAACCUUACCCGGGCUUGAAGUGGAGGUGGUAGGAGCUGGAAACAGCAACGACCCGCAAGGGGAGCCUUCAUCAGGUGUUGCAUGGCUGUCGUCAGCUCGUGUCGUGAGAUGUUGGGUUAAGUCCCGUUAACGAGCGAAACCCUUGCGUCUAGUUGCUAACCGAAAGGUGCACUCUAGACGGACUGCCCGUGUCGAAUGGGAGGAAGGUGGGGAUGACGUCAAGUCAUCAUGGCCCCUUAUGCCCGGGGUCAACACACGUGCUACAAUGGUCGGUAUAAAGGGUUUGCCAACCCGCGAGGGGUAGCCAAUCUCAAAAAGCCGACCUCAGUUCGGAUCGGAGGCUGCAAUUCGCCU
rnacentral:rRNA from 1 species